AACGAACGCUGGCGGCAGGCUUAACACAUGCAAGUCGAGCGCCCCGCAAGGGGAGCGGCAGACGGGUGAGUAACGCGUGGGAAUCUACCCAUCUCUGCGGAACAACUCCGGGAAACUGGAGCUAAUACCGCAUACGCCCUUCGGGGGAAAGAUUUAUCGGAGAUGGAUGAGCCCGCGUUGGAUUAGCUAGUUGGUGGGGUAAAGGCCUACCAAGGCGACGAUCCAUAGCUGGUCUGAGAGGAUGAUCAGCCACAUUGGGACUGAGACACGGCCCAAACUCCUACGGGAGGCAGCAGUGGGGAAUAUUGGACAAUGGGCGAAAGCCUGAUCCAGCCAUGCCGCGUGAGUGAUGAAGGCCCUAGGGUUGUAAAGCUCUUUCACCGAUGAAGAUAAUGACGGUAGUCGGAGAAGAAGCCCCGGCUAACUUCGUGCCAGCAGCCGCAGUAACAC
rnacentral:rRNA from 1 species